UUAAGAUUUUGGGAGGCGUGCGGUAAGAGAAAUCGUGACAGAGAGGAAUAGCGUUGUUGGCCACAGAUCGGAGAAGUUGUUAUGGCUGGAAGGAACACUAGUAGGAAUGAUGUGACUCUUGCUGCUGCUAUGCAGACAAUGGCUCAGGAUUUCCAAAACCCGCCGAAUGCUGACGAGAAUGCUGGGUCUCGUAGUUUGGCAACUUUCCAAAGAGAGAAUCCUCCUACUUUCCAAGGAAAGUAUGAUCCCGAAGGUGCUUUGGCGUGGCUGAAGGAGAUUGAAAGAAUCUUCCGUGUGAUGGAUUGCAUUCCUGUGCAAAGGAUCCGUUAUGGUACUCAU